rnacentral:ncRNA from 1 species
UGAAAUAGAACCUGAAACCGUGUACGUACAAGCAGUGGGAGCACCUUCGUGGUGUGACUGCGUACCUUUUGUAUAAUGGGUCAGCGACUUAUAUUUUGUAGCAAGGUUAACCGUAUAGGGGAGCCGUAGGGAAACCGAGUCUUAACUGGGCGACUAGUUGCAAGGUAUAGACCCGAAACCCGGUGAUCUAGCCAUGGGCAGGUUGAAGGUUGGGUAACACUAACUGGAGGACCGAACCGACUAAUGUUGAAAAAUUAGCGGAUGACUUGUGGCUGGGGGUGAAAGGCCAAUCAAACCGGGAGAUAGCUGGUUCUCCCCGAAAGCUAUUUAGGUAGCGCCUCGUGAACUCAUCUUCGGGGGUAGAGCACUGUUUCGGCUAGGGGGCCAUCCCGGCUUACCAAACCGAUGCAAACUCCGAAUACCGAAGAAUGUUAUCACGGGAGACACACGGCGGGUGCUAACGUCCGUCGUGAAGAGGGAAACAACCCAGACCGCCAGCUAAGGUCCCAAAGUCAUGGUUAAGUGGGAAACGAUGUGGGAAGGCAUAGACAGCCAGGAUGUUGGCUUAGAAGCAGCCAUCAUUUAAAGAAAGCGUAAUAGCUCACUGGUCGAGUCGGCCUGCGCGGAAGAUGUAACGGGGCUAAACCAUGCACCGAAGCUGCGGCAGCGACGCUUAGCGUUGUUGGGUAGGGGAGCGUUCUGUAAGCCGUUGAAGGUGGCCUGUGAGGGUUGCUGGAGGUAUCAGAAGUGCGAAUGCUGACAUAAGUAACGAUAAAGCGGGUGAAAAGCCCGCUCGCCGGAAGACCAAGGGUUCCUGUCCAACGUUAAUCGGGGCAGGGUGAGUCGACCCCUAAGGCGAGGCUGAAAAGCGUAGUCGAUGGGAAACAGGUUAAUAUUCCUGUACUUGGUGUUACUGCGAAGGGGGGACGGAGAAGGCUAGGCUAGCCGGGCGACGGUUGUCCCGGUUUAAGCGUGUAGGGGGUGUGACCUGGUAAAUCCGGUUGCAUGUUAACCCUGAGGCGUGAUGACGAUGCACUACGGUGCAGAAGUAGUUGAUGCCCUGCUUCCAGGAAAAUCCUCUAAGCUCCAGGUAACAUUAAAUCGUACCCCAAACCGACACAGGUGGUCAGGUAGAGAAUACCAAGGCGCUUGAGAGAACUCGGGUGAAGGAACUAGGCAAAAUGGUGCCGUAACUUCGGGAGAAGGCACGCUGGCAUGUAGGUGAAGUCCCUCGCGGAUGGAGCUGAAGCCAGUCGAAGAUACCAGCUGGCUGCAACUGUUUAAUAAAAACACAGCACUGUGCAAACACGAAAGUGGACGUAU